rnacentral:rRNA from 1 species
AUUGAACGCUGGCGGCAUGCCUUACACAUGCAAGUCGAACGGCAGCACGGGGCAACCUGGUGGCGAGUGGCGAACGGGUGAGUAAUGCAUCGGAACGUACCUUUCAGUGGGGGAUAACGUAGCGAAAGUUACGCUAAUACCGCAUAUUCUGUGAGCAGGAAAGCAGGGGAUCGCAAGACCUUGCGCUGAUUGAGCGGCCGAUGUCAGAUUAGCUAGUUGGUGAGGUAAAGGCUCACCAAGGCGACGAUCUGUAGCGGGUCUGAGAGGAUGAUCCGCCACACUGGAACUGAGACACGGUCCAGACUCCUACGGGAGGCAGCGGUGGGGAAUUUUGGACAAUGGGGGCAACCCUGAUCCAGCCGUGCCGCGUGAGUGAAGAAGGCCUUCGGGUUGUAAAGCUCUUUCGGCCGGGAAGAAAUCGCACGGGCUAAUACCCUGUGUGGAUGACGGUACCGGAAUAAGAAGCACCGGCUAACUACGUGCCAGCCGCCGCGGUAA